rnacentral:rRNA from 1 species
UGGCGGAAUGCUUACACAUGCAAGUCGUACGGGCAGCUUCGGCUGUCAGUGUCGACGGGUGAGUAACGCGUAGGAACGUGUCCUGUGGUGGGGGAUAACGCUGGGAAACUGGCGCUAAUACCGCAUAUGGCCUGAGGGUCAAAGCCGUGAGGCGUCAUGGGAGCGGCCUGCGUCCGAUUAGGUAGUUGGUGGGGUAAAGGCCUACCAAGCCUGCGAUCGGUAGCUGGUCUGAGAGGAUGAUCAGCCACACUGGGACUGAGACACGGCCCAGACUCCUACGGGAGGCAGCAGUGGGGAAUAUUGGACAAUGGGCGAAAGCCUGAUCCAGCAAUUCCGCGUGGGUGAAGAAGGUCUUCGGAUUGUAAAGCCCUUUCGGCAGGGACGAUGAUGACGGCACCUGCAGAAGAAGCCCCGGCUAACUUCGUGCCAGCAGCCGCGG